ensembl:lncRNA
CCCGUCCGUCCCCUCAACCAAAUGGGAGGAGUGUAAUAUCUCUGCUCUGCAAUGUUCCGGUUUCCGCUAAGGAGACACCCCAGUUCGCUAAGGGAGCAGCUAGUGUGCUGUGGUAAGGGGGGAGGUUUGGGGAGGCUAAAGGCUGGAUUAAGCAUAGUUAGCAGCCGAGAUGGUGAAUAUAACUAGUAUAGCGACGUUGCUCAAGUGACUGCGUGUGGUCAGGGCGAUAUUAAAACGAUUUUCUCAAGAAAGAUAACAACCUUUUUCAGCAUGGACUCCAUGCACAUAACACACGUCUGAAGUGCACUUGAAUUGUGUGUAUACUCCAAACAAAACUGACCAUGAUGUACCGCUUGUUUUCCGCCUUGGGUGUUCUAUUCGGAAUGGCCUCAGCGGACGGCUCUUAUGGCUUAGGGCCGAAGCCAAAGAGGAUAUGUCCUGGGAUGCCAUUCAGUUUUACACUGACAUAUAAGAUAAGCGGAGCAGACUUGAUGUUCUACAAGAACGGGGUUGAGAGGAAGGUUGCCACUACCAAGGAGAUUAUAGACCCCCAGUUUCGGCUCAAUGGCACUGUACCUUAUUUACCCGAGGUCAUGAAAACGCAUGAAGGGAAGUAUUAUUGGAAGGCUCCAUCGGUCGAUUUUGAACUGAAUUACAUCAGACUAAUUCUGAAAGACUGCAGUGUUCGUCAAAAUGUGGUGUACGGUGAGGAGUUGGCCUUAAAUGUGCCGGCGGACGCGUCUGUGUUGGAGUUCACCCCUCACCUCUCAGACCAACACUCCGUCCUGUGGAGACGGAUACACAGAGGGGGGGACGAGGAAGCAAGGGGCGCGGUUAAGGACGGCCGCUGGACAGCACAGAGGAUGACCCAAGCGGAUCAGGGGCGCUACACUUUACUCAGGGAGAGUGGUGGCCAGAUCUCCAGCACUGUGGUCUCUGUUGAAGAACUCCAAAUACAUGCUCACGUGGCUGAUGACGACGUCAGAGAUCACUGGAGAACUGAUGUUAAUAUCUCUGCACGGGAGGCUGUAGUCACUUACUUUACGGCUUUCGGGGGUGAGCAUGUGCUCUUCCGAGACGGCAUGGAGACUGAUGAGGGCUUCGACAUUUUUGGAAAUCGUAUCACACUCCAAAAGUCAACGCUCCAAAAGUCAACUUUCAGCAUCAGCAAAGCGCAGCCAAGUGACGCAGGACGAUACGAGAUCCAUGACAAGAAUGGACAUCUGGCCAUCUCACUGUAUCUGGAGAGAGACCCUGAGUUUGAUCUUAAGAGUUUAGCCACUCCCCUUGGCAUAUCUGCGGGCGUGCUGGCAGGACUGCUGUGCUGUUGCUGGUGCUGUUGCAAGUGCUGUAGUGAUGACGACGGUGACAAGACUGAGUCCGCCGCUGCUUCUCCAGACACCGAGCAACUCGCCCACGUCCAUGAUCCCAGUGAGAUGUCUGGACCCGGCGACCCCUUGCAACCUCCAUCAUCUGCUCCCUCUUCAGGUGACACCAAUGAACUAACGGCCUCCAUGGCGUACCCCCCCAACCCCUGGGAGAACAGUCCACCUCCUUACUUUCCUGACCCAGCGUCAAGGCCACACAGCAUAGUGGUCCCCGUGGAGCCCAGCGUCCCUGAGUGGGUUCCAAGCGUCCCUGAGUGUGUUCCCAGCGUCCCUGAGUGGGUUCCCAGCGUCCCUGAGUGUGUUCCCAGUCCGUACAGUUCAGCAGCUCCCACUGCUCCUCCUGAGGCUCCUGAUGGAGGAGGAGGAGGUGAUCGUGGUGCUCCCACCGCCCCUUCUGCACCCCCCGACCCUGGUCUGCGGUACCAGUCGAGAGCCUGGGGUAGUGGCCAGGAUGACUUUCUCUCCAGCUCUCCUCUCUGCAUGGACAGCGCCACCGACAGCUGCACCUUCACCUCAAACAAUCUCAACUUCUAGACCGAUGCGUUCCGUUGACAACUCGGGAUCGAUGGAGCAUUUUCACACGCAGUGCGCUGUGACUUGUGUUGCGUCCUACUGACUGGUACGCUGUGAUUUAGACACGUAGUUUCACGCUCAAAGGCAACGCGCACUACUUCAUUUGCACUGGGCCUGUUCUGCUGCAGUGCUGGAGUGGAUCUGUCAAUACCACAGACUCUCACGCCAUCCAAAGGGCCACCAUCUUUCUUUGACCUGUUACUCUGUGUCUAAUGUCUGUGAGUCUGUUCGUGUCUGCUAGUGUCUUAUGUCCCUAUCUCAUGUAAGUAGGCCAUUUCAUGUAUCCUUUUCUUAGCUUGCUAGAAUUGGUAGCAAUGCAAGUCUGUGUUAUUUUACAUAUUUAUCACACAGGAUUGUAAUGUUCUUACUGCCUGAUCAGGUCCAAUCUCAUUCACAAGCCUUGGUGUUUUUUUGUGUCUUUUUAUGUAUGCGAUUUUAUCUCACUUUGUUGUAACUUUAUAAUGGUGGAUAAUGAAAAGACAUUUUCAGUCCCAAACGUGCUCUAAAUGCCUAUGUAAGGCCUUCAGUAUCCAAAAGUGGCCUUAUCCUAUCUCAGUGCAAUUAAUCAUGUUGUUGUUUAUUUCUGUUUACACUGUAACACCCUGAAACCAUUACUAUGUUUACAAAUGACUAUUUAACACUUUAACACAAAGUAACAGUCUGGGGCGGUCAACUCAUUUUGAAUGAUAUUAUACUGUCUAGGUUUGGUGUACACCCUGAUUAAAAAGAUGACCCCCCCCCCACCACCAUCACCAAAUGUCAUGUCAUUACAUAAUUCACUCUGCAUGAAAUCUUUCCACAUGUAUUUAGAUGUAAGCCAUUAUGUGAAAGUGCCACAAAUUACAGCCAUGUUUAGAUAUUGGUAGGUUUCACGUACAAGCCAUAUAAAUGGAUCCCCUCAUGUAGUCUCAGAUAACAUUAGACUUAAUUGUUGGCUUUUGUCUACAGCCACAACAAGAUGUUUGGAGCCAGGCAUAUUAGCAUUUUGAUUGCCAUGGUCAAGCUAGACCCCCACCUGCCUGGCAUUCACACACCCCUAUACCCCUUUCCUUACAUGCCCCUACCUCACACCUUGAACUAGGACAUACCCACCCCCUCUCCUUAUUCUUUACACCUAACACAGAACUUCCUCCCCAGACCUGAAGGUAAUCGUUUAUGCCAUUUUUUAGUAUGUUAAUUAUGUAGUCCUAUAAGGGAUACAUUUUUUUUUUUAACAAACAAACAAACAAGGCUGACUCACGUCAGUUUUUUUAUUGCACAAGCGACACACACGUGGUUAUGGAGAAGACACAGGACACACACACACACGCAGGCCUCAGGUCACUGUGAAUGUAAUCUCUGCCUUUAACCCAUCCCGGACUGUCCUUCCUCCAGGACCCCAGGAGCAGUGGGCAGCUUUUCAGCGCCCGGGGACCAAGUGAACCGUCUGUCUUGGUCAGGACGGACAGGAGAGUGUUCUGUUCUUUUUGCAUGUUUUUCUGUUGGGGUUCUUAGUGGAGGAAACCCCUUGUGAACACGUGGAGAACAUGCAAACUCCACACAUAAUUAUGUUACCAUUCAUAAGAGGGCGGCAAAGACAGUGGAAGAUAACCGCUAACUUGUAACUUGUUGCUGUGAGUUAGAAAUUCCGAGGCUAAAACUUUGUUGGAAUAAACAGA